GGGUGUGUAGCUCAGCUGGUUAGAGCACUUCACUGAUAAUGAAGAGGUCCGUGGUUCGAGUCCACGCACACCCACCA
rnacentral:tRNA from 1 species